AUUGAACGCUAGCGGCAUGCCUUACACAUGCAAGUCGAACGGAGCGGCGGACGGGUGAGUAAUAUAUCGGGACCUGCCCAGUAGCGGGGGAUAACUACUCGAAAGAGUGGCUAAUACCGCAUACUAUCGGCGCGGCCCAUAUCGGAUUAGCUAGUUGGUGGGGUAAAGGCUCACCAAGGCAACGAUCUGUAGCUGGUCUGAGAGGACGACCAGCCACACUGGGACUGAGACACGGCCCAGACUCCUACGGGAGGCAGCAGUGGGGAAUAUUGGACAAUGGGUGAAACCCUGAUACAGCCAUGCCGCGUGUAUGAAGAAGGCCUUCGGGUUGUAAAGUACUUUUGGCGGGGAAGCGGUAUCUGCAGAAGAAGCACCGGCUAACUACGUGCCAGCAGCCGCGGUAAUUC
rnacentral:rRNA from 1 species